rnacentral:rRNA from 1 species
UACGUAGGGGGCAAGCGUUGUCCGGAAUCAUUGGGCGUAAAGAGCGUGUAGGCGGUCCGGUAAGUCGGCUGUGAAAGUCCAGGGCUCAACCCUGGGAUGCCGGUGGAUACUGUCGGGCUCGAGUCCGGAAGAGGCGAGUGGAAUUCCUGGUGUAGCGGUGAAAUGCGCAGAUAGUCAGGAGGAACACCUAUUGCGAAGGCAGCUCGCUGGGACGUAACUGACGCUGAGACGCGAAGCGUGGGAGCAAACAGG